GUGAGAGGCAAGCGUACGCGCACGCACGCGCGUGUUCUCGCGGUAUUUGGAGAAAUAGGAGCAGGUAGAGAGGAGUUGGGGGAAAAGGAACCUCCGAGGUAUACCAAAAGAAGCCACAGCGUCGGCUGCUCAGAGGACGACAACGUGGGCGAUUAUUUUUUCGUAUUCUCGCGAGAAUUGGGGGCUAACCUUCCCUCCUCACUUUCCUACCUUCCUCUUCCAUACCCCUCCCCCACAAUCUGGAAACAGCGUCGUUUCGGUCUGGGAAGUAGGUAAAAAAAGAUGGGAAUCUUGACUUGGGGGACUCACUAGAGAUAAGGUCGAGGAGCGGGUGGAGGCUCUUGGGUCGGUCACGGGCCUACGGGAUUUGCUCAGUGAGCGAGGCCCCGGGGCGGGCUGGAAGUGUAUACAGUCAGUCCCUCAGGAAGUUAAGGAGAUAGCAAAUAAAUUCAGUCCCCACUUUCAAUUUGUAGGGACGUGGGACCUUUAGUUAGUGGCAAGGCAACCUUGACCCAAGGCAGUCCGCUGGUUAAAUACUUUGGGAGACUACUCUUAGGGGACCCCUUUUUCGAAAACCUUGAAGUGGCUAGUCUCCAGAACUUUUUGGGGGGGAAGGUGAGGCGUUUCUAAAGUUCAGCUUCUUACCUAUUUACAAAUUGGGUUUUUCUCUCUUAUUUUUACCCCUUUAACACCCUAAAAGUAGGAGUUAAUUUAGACUUGGAGUUAAGGAAGAGCAGGUGCUUACUCAGGGUUUAAAACAUCGUUUCUUCCCUUCCUACAUGUGAAGUGUGAGAUCGGAGGAUAUUUUGAUAGAGUUGUUUUCCUCCAGUUGAAAGGCGACUCAACUCAGUUUCAGAUUUAUUUCUGAGGCAGCCUUAUCUUACAACAUUCUGCAUAUGAUUGCAGAAUCAGGUAUUCAUAGAGCAACCCCAUUUAUCCUGGUAAAGAGACAGGGGUGGGUUGAAUGUAGGACAUAGGUAACAAAAGAAAAAGUAGCCCUUCCAUCGUAGGGGGAGGGGCUUGAAGAGUAGAAUUUGGGCUUUUUGGAGGAUUACUCCCUCUUUUCAAGCACAGUGGAGAAGGAAUGCCAAACCCAGAGAGACAUGGGGGAAAGAAAGAUAUGGGAGGUGGGGGGUCUUUGCAUCAAGAUGCAGUGUCCAGCAGUGGGAGCUCAAACAGCAGAGAAAGGCAUCGACUCUCCAAGCAUAAAAGACACAGAUCCAGGCAUUCCAAAGAUUCGCCGUUGGGGUCUCAAGAAGGAGGAGCACCUCUUGGCAGCAUGAUCAAGCCAUUGGUAGAAUAUGACGAUAUCAGCUCUGAUUCUGACACUUUCUCAGAUGAAGCAGUCCUCAAGCUGGAACGUAGAGAAAAUGAUGAGAGGAAAGGGACAUCAGACAGGAGUGAUCGACUACAUAGACAUCGUCAUCAUCAACACAGGCGUGUCCGUGAAUUGAUAAAAAGUAAGCUGGGAGACAAGGAGAAGAGAAUGGACAGAAACCAGGAGUCCUCAGGCAAGUUGAGUUCUAGUAAGGAUAGACUAUCUGGUACUUCCAAAAGGCUACAAGAGGAGAAUGAUGACCACGCAUCUAAAUCAUUCAAAAGCAGUAGCAAAGAGUCCCGCUCAGCCAAACUGCAUAAGGAGAAGUCUAGAAAAGAACGGGAGGCAAAAUCUGGUCACAAGGAUCACAGUAAAAGUCAUCGGAAAAGAGAUGCCCCCAAAAGUUACAAGUCAUUAGACAGCCCAAAGCGGAAAUCCAGAAGUCCACACCGUAAGUGGUCAGAUAGUCCCAAACAAGAUGACAGUCCCUCAGGAGCAUCCUAUUCACAGGAGUAUGACAACAGCCCUCCACGCUCGCAUACAUCCAGUAACUAUGAUUCAUAUAAGAAGAGUCCUAGUGUAUCCUCACGACGGCCAUCAGUCAGCCCUCCAUAUAAGGAACCUGCUGCCUAUCAAUCCAGUAUGCGUUCUCCCAGCCCUUAUGGCAAGAGACAGCGAUCAGUCAGUCCAUACAGCAGGAGGCGUUCAUCCAGCUAUGAAAGAGGAAGUGGAUCAUACAGUGGAAGAUCUCCCAGUCCAUUCAAUCGAAGGCGCUCCAGCAGUCCUUUUGUUUCCAAACGGUCUCUGAGUCGUAGUCCUGUUUCCAGGAAGCCCAUGAAAUCCCGAAGCAGAAGUCCCACUUAUUCAAGGCAUUCUUCAUCUCAUAACAAAAAGCAGAGAACUGGGUCUCGCAGUCGCCAUUCCAGUAUCUCACCUGCUCGGCUACCACUGACCUCCAGUUUAGGAGCUGAGCUGAGUAGGAAGAAAAAGGAGAGGGCUGCAGCUGCAGCCGCUGCAGCAAAAAUUGAUGGAAAGGAGAUUAAGGACUCAUCUAGCUUGGUGUCUAGAAAAGAAAAUAAUUUAGCUGAAGUAAAAGAGUCUGUAAUGGAUGUCAGGAAGGCAAAAAUGGCUAAGCCUGAAAAAUGUCCUCAUAAUCUGGUGACGGUAAAUACUCUACAACAAAGUACAGAGGUGAAAACAACUCCUGAGCCUGUCAAAACAAAGACAGCAGAAAAUUCUGAAAAGAAACGUCUUGCUUUGGUUAAAGACUCAAAAGCUGUGGGAACAAAAAAUAUAAAACUUGUUACAGCAAAGGAGGAAAUUGUGACUCCAAAACAAAUAGAGACAUCUGAGCAAGAGGUCCAACCUCCUUUGCCUUCUGUAAAGUCACUCCCUCCUUUACCAACCUCAUCCCCACCUCCUCAGAUUCCUCCACCAUUGCCCCCUUUGCCUCCAUUGCCAGUGAUUCCCCCUCUGCCAUCUGCCCAGUCAUCUACCAGCCCUGCUUUAGUUCCUCUGCCAUUUCCUGCCCUUCCUAAAACAUCCUUGACUUCUCAGGCUAACUCCCAGCCCACCAUGCAAUCCUCCUCAAAGGGACAUGGUUCUGUGACCAUAGCUAUUCCUCAUCUGAAAACAUCAACGUUGCCUCCACUCCCUUUGCCACCAAUCUUGCCUGGAGAAGAUGAGUUGGAAAGUCCAAAGGAGAUUGUUCCUCUGAAGCCUGUGAAGAAAGAGAAAGAACAGAGACUACGAUACUUGCUUACAGACCUCCCACUUCCUCCGGAGCUUCUUGGUGGAGACCCUUCACCGCCGGAGUCUCCAGAACCAAAGGCAGUCACACCACCUCAGCAAUCAUUAAGAAAGAGACCAAAAAUCUGUUGCCCUCGUUAUGGUGAGAGGAGACAGACAGAAAGUGAUUGGGGAAAGCGCUGUGUGGACAAAUUUGAUAUUAUUGGUAUUAUUGGUGAGGGAACAUAUGGGCAAGUGUACAAAGCCAAGGACAAGGAUACAGGUGAAUUGGUAGCUUUGAAAAAAGUAAGGCUGGACAAUGAAAAAGAAGGCUUCCCUAUUACAGCUAUCCGUGAAAUCAAGAUUCUCAGACAAUUGAUUCAUCGGAGUGUUGUCAACAUGAAGGAAAUUGUUACAGACAAACAAGAUGCACUGGAUUUCAAGAAGGACAAAGGUGCCUUUUAUCUUGUAUUUGAAUAUAUGGACCAUGACCUCAUGGGAUUGCUAGAAUCUGGGUUGGUGCAUUUCUCAGAGGACCAUAUCAAAUCAUUCAUGAAGCAGUUAAUGGAGGGACUAGACUAUUGUCACAAAAAGAACUUUCUUCAUCGAGAUAUCAAAUGUUCCAACAUCUUAUUAAAUAACAGUGGGCAGAUCAAGUUGGCAGACUUCGGUCUUGCCCGACUUUACAGUUCAGAAGAAAGCCGUCCAUAUACCAAUAAAGUCAUUACAUUAUGGUAUCGACCACCAGAAUUGCUGCUAGGCGAGGAGCGUUACACACCAGCAAUAGAUGUCUGGAGCUGUGGUUGCAUCCUUGGGGAACUGUUUACAAAGAAACCUAUUUUUCAAGCUAAUCUUGAGUUGUCCCAGCUUGAAUUAAUCAGCCGUCUUUGUGGGAGCCCGUGUCCAGCUGCAUGGCCAGAUGUCAUCAAACUUCCCUACUUCAACACCAUGAAACCUAAGAAGCAAUAUCGUAGGCGCCUGCGGGAGGAGUUUUCUUUCAUUCCUACUACUGCCCUUGACUUGCUAGACCAUAUGCUAACACUGGACCCCAAUAAGCGAUGUACAGCAGAGCAAACAUUGCAGAGUGACUUCCUAAAGGAUGUUGAUAUCAGCAAGAUGGAUCCUCCAGACCUCCCUCGUUGGCAGGAUUGUCAUGAACUCUGGAGUAAGAAACGCCGACGGCAACGACAAAGUGGGAUUGCGGUGGAGGAACCUCCCCUGGCAAAGGUUUCCCGGAAGGACACCGCCUCUGCAAUAAGCACUGAAGCUACCAAGAAUCAUAGCAGUCCAGUACCCCCGCAGCCUGCUCAGAUCAAAACGCAACCUGGUGCUGGAGACACAUUUGCAGGUCUUGGUGACAUCACACAGCAGCUGAAUCAGAGUGAGCUGGCUGUCUUACUGAACUUGUUGCAGAGCCAGACAGACCUAAGUGUUGCACAGAUGGCCCAGCUACUCAACAUUCAUUCAAACCCUGAGAUGCAGCAACAGCUAGAGGCCCUUAACCAGUCCAUCAGUGCACUCAAUGAAGCCACCACCACUACCACUCAGCAAGUGCAGGAUUCCCAGAAAGUGCCUGAAGAGGAAACAGCUGUUGAGGAACCACCCCCACCAGCCCUUCCCUCUGAGGAACAACCCACUCCUGAAGCAGCAGGCACUCAGGGAGACAUGCAAAGCGUUCUGGCAAUUUUGCUGAGCCAGCUAAUUAAAACCCAAGAGCCUGCAACAAAUACAGAGCAGAAUAGCAGUGAGAAGAACAGCGAUCUACGGGGGCCACGGAAAACCCCCACUUUGCCUCAGGAGGAAACUGCAGGUUAAAUUCUGGAUAUUGGUCAAAAGAAGUCUAUUUUCAGCCCAGGAAGCGUGCUCUUCAGGGAGAGGAGAACCAAAGUUUGAACACAUGUGCCAUUGGGCAAAGAACUGGCUAGAUCAUGACUUUUUGCCUAAUCAGAUGGCAGCUGUUUGAUUGAAGGGUGCUAAUAUUUGCACUGGUUCUUCAAAGAAGAUAUGAUUGGCCCGCAGACACAGCUUCACAUUGAUUCAUCAUGGAGGAACCUCCUUUUGGAACAUAUAUAAAUGUGUGAGAAUGAGGGAUAACAUCCAGAAGAAUAUGCCAAGGAGGAUAAGAAAAACAAGGAAGAAAAGCAAUGCAUUGUGGCAGAUGGAUUCAACCAUUUCCACCAUCAAAGAAAUUCUAGAUUGCCACUCUCCAGAAGCAUUUUGACUAGUUCUUUCAAAUAUCCCGGGCAAGGUUAGAAUAGAUGGUUUUUGUACAUUUCCAUGGGACGUUAACAUUGAACUGAACAAUGUAAAGUGGCAAGAUUGAAUUACUGUUAGGCUACUUCUACGUGGGGAAUUAACUCCACUGGUUUUGCUGCCGUAUGCAUGGUUUCAAUGAGCACUCUCUGCCAACUGGCACUGCUGCCAACAGCCAGUAAGGAGUGCAGAAAAAUCAGCAGGACAUGGCACCCCAUUAUCAACCCCAAGCUUCAUCUUACUAUAUUUACGCUCCUUGUCAAGGAACAAACAAACAGGCCACAACAUGGGGAUGUGACAAAGCCAAGAAAAGAGCAUCAGUGCACCAUGGCACCUUGAUUUCUCAGGAAGGUAGAGAAAUCCUAGACGGUGGAUAUGGGCCAGUGCUCCCCUUCAAAGGAAAAACAUCAGUCCCAUAGCUCUAAAAAAGAAUGCUGUGGUUAUUGCAGGACUUCUUCUGGAGCAGGAGCCAAGCCAGAUAGCUUGCAGAGUUAAUCAGCUCAGUUUUCCAAGCCUACUGAACACCCUGGCAUUGUCGGAAUGCACAAAGGCAGCACAGUAUCAGACUGGCAUGGACUCAAAUGGGAUGAGGAAUUGUCCUUGCCUUCUUGUUGCUAUUCCUAUGCACCGGAGGCUCCAAUGCCAAACUGAGCGCUAAAGCUUUCAGCAAACAGCAUUGCUUCAGGUGAGGAUGAUGGCAGCUUUUAGAAACACCGCCCCAGGAAUAUAAAGCUCAGUGUGUAGAAAUAUUGCAAGUCCAAAAAAAAAAAAGGCUGGGCCAACCAUUUGUGUUGCAAUCAAACUAUGUGGCAGCCUUUGGUGGUCUAGAGUCCCCCCAGGGGUUUUGGUCUGCAAUACCCAUUACUCAAAGCUACUUAGAGCUAGUGGUACAAUCCAAGGGAAAACAUUGUACUCUACUCUACUCUGGAUUGGCUUCGGUGGAUGGUUAGUACCUAGCCCAGCUGCUUAUCUGGCCUCAGAAGCUAAGUAGAGUCAUGCCUGAUCAGUCCUUUGGUGGGAGAUCUAGGGCUAUGGGUUACCGCAGGAGGUGAAAACAUAAUCUCAAAGAACUAAAUCUAAAUCAUUUUCAGACAAAUUGCAGGAACAUAGUCACAGAGUCACCAGAGGUUGAAUUGACCUGAAGGAGACAUUGCCUUUUAAAAUUAACAUAAAGCAUAUCUCUUUGUUAUAAGCCUAAAGAUUAGGACAUUGAGAACUGAAAACUGCUGAAUAAUUCUGUCUGUGAGUGUGUAUUAUCUAUUUAAUGCAAAAUUCAGGAGGUGAGGUUGCUAAAGCAUUUGGGGAAGAUAACAGUUGCAUGCAGAUAUGCUGCAUUUUUCAAAUGUAAUACCUGAGUGGUCCCCCCCCCGUCCCCCCGCAACCAGGAUUGUCUUUUAACAUCUCAGACAAUAUUUGCAGCAAGGCCAUUAUACCUCCCUUGACUCUUCUCAUAAAAGAAUGCUAAUUCCCCAGAGUCUCUUUUUAAAAAUCUUAGAAUCCCUCUAGUGGUCAAUAAGCUUCAGAACAGGCAUAGUUUUGUCCUAUGGAAGCCUUAGAGUAAGAUUUCAGAUAUCUUUCCUUCCCACAAUACAGUUGUCAAGAGACUACUUUAUUUUAUUUUAUUUCAUUUUGGAUCCCACCUCUAGUUUCCUCAAUAGCAUCUUGCCAGGCAGAAAUAUAGCAAGUGAGACUUUUCCUGGCAUGGGGGCAGUGUGGAUAUGUGCCAUUUAGUCAGGUUGGGUAACUGAUCCAAUAAAGAAUGGCAGUUUUCUUCUAAACUAGAGUUGCCAUCUUUUAAGCAAUCUUCAUAAUUAUUAGUUCUGGCGGUUGAAGUUCACCAGCAUAUUUUUAAACAGAAGAAAUAAUAAUUCUUCUAAAAGUAUUCUUUUAGAAAAGUAGCUUUACACGCAACUGUGAGCAAGCCCAAAAAUUUGUCUACAAGAUAAUGCAAUCUAGAAUUUUACUUUUUGGUUUCUGGAAUGCUAAUGACUUUUUAAAAGAGAAGCAUGACUCUUUCUUUUGUUGAUUUUUGGGACACAAAAGAUCCCCCCCCCCAUUUGCUUCCCAGAUUAAUGGAAAACAAAGCAUUACAUAUUUUACACACCUUGAAGCUAUGAUGGCUUCAUAGGGGAGGGGGGGGAGGUGGAAAUAGCAUUUUUAAACUGAUACGAUUACUGACUCUUUAUGUCUGUUUCAUUUAUCCACAUAAAUUGUUUUCUAAGCAAAUUCUAUAAAUAAUUUACCUAAAUUUACUAUUCCAGAUGACCACUAGGUGGCAACAAAGAAAUCCAAAAACUCUGCCCUUUGCUGACAUCUUGUGGUGAUCCAGAUGCUUUGCAUCAUGAAUAUCGUAGCAGCCAGUUUGAGCUGAUGGUUAAGGCACCCGACUAAGAAAGCAGAAAACAAUGAGAUCAAGUCCCACCCUUGCCAUGAAAAUCAGCUUGAGUGAUUUUGGGCCAGUCACUCUUUCUUAGCUCACCUCACCGGGUUGUUGUUGUGAGGAA